rnacentral:tRNA from 1 species
UUGACAGAAGCCAAAAAGAGGCUUAUUAUUGUUAAUAAUAACAUUGAAUACACCAUAUCUCCUGUCAAG